CACCAGCAGCCCUCCCCCGGGCUCCCUCCCGGCGUUUUAAUUUAUUGUCACUGUCACACGCAUAGGUCCAUGAGGCGCCACGCCCGGCACGCACGCACGCAUGCGGCCACCCACAGGCCCUACGACCCGAAGCCCGUGCCCGGCACCCGGCUGCGCGGCCGGGGCAGCUGUGGAAGAACCAGAAGAUCUUGCAGAACAUCAGAGACCAGACGGUGCAGUGCAGCUUUAGUGAAAAAGAGUCAGUUCCCCGCUGCAUGAGGGACUCGCGUGCCACCAGACUUUACACCAAGCAACUGGACGAGUUAGAGCAAUCACGAACUGGAAUAUCGCCUUAACAAUCAAACUGCACGGAGCAAGCUGAAACUGAGACAAGAUUAUAUCUUUUAAUUGAUCGAAAGCCUUGUAAAUAAAUCGUCCUCGACAUAUCUAGACGGGGUGAAGGGGUUUCUUUGAAACAUUCAGAACUGUUCACCCACAACCACUCCACACACCCGGCCUCCCGCAGGGUGAGGUAGAAACCUAGUGAGUUCAUUGGUGUGAUCCCAUUUUUACUGCCAUUUCGGUGAUCAAAUCAUAUUUCUGUACAUUUUCAGUGGUAGGAAAAAAAAGGUUUUAAAAAUUGUAACCUAGGGAACAGUUUGCCAUGAGUCAGAAUUUUGCAGUUUAGCUCAUAGUCCUUCAUUGAUUUUCCUCUGAAAUACCAGUUUUAUGAUUGAAAGACCACCAUCCUUCGAAUCAGGAUUGGCGGCACCGUGGUCCCUUUGUGAGCAGGCUUCAUCCCUGUGUGGAGUUCACUGUCUUACUGUCUGCGGUCAGGCCCUCUGGAGACAUCGCUUUGUUUGCACUUUGACAGAACUGAGGCCGAGUAUGUGUCCUAUCUCUCAGAUUAGAACGAACCUCUAAUAGUAAAAAAAAAAAAAAAAAGUCGCUAUUAUAACUAAUUUAUUUUCAUUAAAGAACAUGAGACCUUUUAGCCUCCCUCCUGCUCAUCUUUCUUUCCUAAUUCCUCCACUUUUGGGUUCCAUUUGGAUUUUGUCCCGAGUUCUUUGCUAAAUUUUGUAAUCUCAUCAGCAACCGCUACCCGCUCAGUGUUUAUGUUUAUCUCCAUGGGUCUCAGCUCCAUCCCCCAGUGAAAGUCUAAGGCUGUCUUUCUCCCCCGCUGCAAUAGGAUGUCUUUAUAAAAUGUUAGCAUCAAUUAAUUCUCCUUUGGUACUUAUUGUAGCUACAUAUAUUAAAAGACAAAAAUGUCUCUUCGGGCAGUUUGUCUUUAAUAUGCUCUGUACACAAGAGGCUUCGCCCUUCCCAUCAUCCGCCCUAAGCGGAGCUGGGGUGCAGAUGCAUAGGUGGCCCUUUCUGGUUUCCCCCCUCUCUCCCUCUCUUCCUAAGUGCAGUUACCUGAGAGCUAGCCGUUUCACUUCCAUCUGACAAAGGAGCAGUUUAGCUGUUUGACGUGGAAAGCCUCCUGUGGAGGGCCUUGCAGCUUGUACAAGCAGUUUCCAAAAAUGAAACCCAUCCGUCGUAAACAAAAGCACAAACACAUGUAGCAGUUUAUAACCCUUUUGGUUUAAUCUCAAUUAGUCUUUCUCCCCUAGGCUAGAAAUCCAGUCUAGUUUGCCAUUAAUUUAUUGAAUCUGGUUCCGGACAAUGCUUUUGUAGUGUAGCUGCACGUCCUGGUACUGUAUCCUCCGACAUUUAUUUUUCAUGUGCUACAAAAGGAAAAACUCGAGAUUACAUUUGCAUAAACUCUAAUUUCCACCGUUCACAGCUACUACUCGUGCAGCAACUGCUUUAUGCGGCUGUAAUCCAUAAUCUGUGAGGACAGCACACCAUCUCAACCCAUCCCAAAUAAUAUUUCUGUGUAGUGUUAGCUGAGAAUUUACCCUGUACAGCUGUAUCUCUAUAAAUAUAAUUCCAUGUAUUAAUAGUCACAGAAAAACUGUAAGUGAGCAACUAUUUUUAUGAAACGCACCACUAUGGAUAAAUUAACUUUUACAGAAAUCUUGUUUACUGUAUGAUAUUCUAAAACAACACUGUCAAAUAAAAUAUAUAUCGAAAAAGCUUUUCUUUUUCCAAUUAUAUAAGCUGUGUAUUAAUUUGAAAUUGAUCAUUCCUG
rnacentral:lncRNA from 1 species